rnacentral:pre_miRNA from 1 species
UGAACUCAAAUUUGUGUGCAGUUGGAACGUUUUCCUACAUUAACCGCUAGGGGCGCUGUUCCAAUUGCAGACAAAAUUGAGUUA